CGGAGGAUCCAAGCGUUAUCCGGAAUCAUUGGGUUUAAAGGGUCCGUAGGCGGGUUUAUAAGUCAGUGGUGAAAGCCCAUCGCUCAACGAUGGAACGGCCAUUGAUACUGUAGAUCUUGAAUUAUUAGGAAGUAACUAGAAUAUGUAGUGUAGCGGUGAAAUGCUUAGAGAUUACAUGGAAUACCAAUUGCGAAGGCAGGUUACUACUAAUGGAUUGACGCUGAUGGACAAAAGCGUGGGUAGCGAACAGGAUUAGAUACCCUGGUAGUCCACGCCGUAAACGAUGGAUACUAGCUGUUCGGAGCAAUCUGAGUGGCUAAGCGAAAGUGAUAAGUAUCCCACCUGGGGAGUACGUUCGCAAGAAUG
rnacentral:rRNA from 1 species